CAUAGUUUUCUUGUUUAACCGAAUUCUUUGUUUCUAAAUUUUUACAACAUUUUUUGAGUAAAAUGUUUAACCUUUGGCUGAACAGAAGAUGGGUCUUAUUAUCGAUAUGUCCAUAAAUUCUAAAAGACGUCAACCAGCUGCUUGGGAGUCGGGGUAGGGAAAAAAAAAAAGCCUACUCUGUGCAACCAUCACAAACUGAAAACCUAACUGUUCUGGGACUUAGACUGGAACUGUGUGCUUCGGUCAGAAGAGUCUAAGCUUUAGCCUUUUGGUAACAAGCACUGCAGCAGGGUUUGGGGUCAAACAAUGCAUUAAAGGGAUUUACUUUCAUAAAGAUAAAGUAUCUUGUUGUAUAUAUUGUUUUAACCAUUUUCUUUUUAUUCUUUUAGGGUUUUUAAAUGGGAACGUUCUAUAAGGGCAUUUCUACCACAAAAUCCAAGAAUGGAACCCUUCCCAUGAAUACUGCCUCCUCUACAACCCAAUUGACGGAAUUCGAAACCGACACAGAUUCAACAAAUAGGAUCUUCUCACCAACACGGCAAUCAAAGGCGGGGCUUACCGGUCGAUGGUUUCUUCCGCGCAACUCCAAGACAGGCUCAAGAUAAAACAACUCCGGUUAUUUUUCUGCUUGACGCAUGGCGUGACAAGAUGAUAACAGACCGGAUGUCAACGCUGUUCUGCAACUGUUGCAACUGGAGAGAUGUUUUGGGUGAUCAAGAAAGUGGUAGCUUUUUAGACCCGCCCUCCUCACAACACCCGAUACCGCCCCCCUUCAACGUUAACCACACCCCUUCUCAGUAUAAAAAAAAACAACCGGACAGACCGAUCGGAACAUCCAUGCAACUUCACUGACCAGACUUUUAGCAUCUGAAACCAUGAACAACUACGCGGUUGAAAGAACUACAGCUUCAACAUCAUCGCAGCAUGACUCCCCGGACAGCGAUA